AUGGGUGUGGCGUCUUCUAUGAUUGAAGACGACAAGGUCCUUGUGUUAUGCCAGGAGAGGAAGCGUUUUGUUAGAGAGGCACUUGAUGGAAGAUGUGCGCUUGCAUGUGCUCACCAUGAUUAUAUUGUGUCACUUAGAGAUACGGGAUCUCUUCUGAGAAAUUGUUUUGAAGGAGAGAAGUCUCCUGCAGCUGCAAAUAAGGAGGGUCAUGUUGCAGAUUCAGAAGAUGGUUUCGACAAUCCGUCCACUGAAACUGUGGCACAGGUGCACAAGAACCCCAAUGAUUUGCCUCAGAUAAGGAGAAUAAUAGGUGUUAUCACAAAUGAAAAUGAUGAAAUUCCUGCCACCCCCCUGGUUAAUGUGGUCCCAUCAUCUGCGGCUGCUCGCACUAUGGACUCCCAGAAACCUUAUCCUGAAGUAAAGAAUGUGGUGAAGGACUUAUCUUCUUCGUUUAUGAAAGAGGUUGAGAUAUUAUUCUUUAGGGCAUGUGAUUCUGGGAAACAAGUUCCAAUGAUUCUGGAAGAAGAUAAAAUCCAGUUCCGCCCUCUACUACCUGAAGAAAUAGCACAUGGAUCAAAGGCAUCAAAGUUUCUUGCGACAUUUCUUGUUUGCUGCAGGGAGGAAGUUUCUAUUCCCAAACCUCCUCCUCAAGCUGAGAUAAAGUACCUUACCUGGCAUAGAUCAGUGUCUUCACAGCUGUCGCCAUCUAAGAAUCCUCCUCGAACUAUUCUUGUCGUCCAUACAUCGACGCUAGAUAGGUUGUAUGCAUGGGAGACAAAGCUUUAUGACGAAGUUAAGGCCAAUAGCUCCAUCUGCAGGAAGUAUGAUGAGAAAUGUAAACAACUGAGAGACCAGGAGUCGCGAGGGAAAAAACUAAUCAUUACCGAUUUUACCCCUGCUGCAGUAGAAGACUUGCAUUCCAGAAUCCCAGUGGCUAUUCGAAAGAUAUACUUCAUUUCGAUGAACAUAGAAGAUCUAAGGGAUAAAGAGCUUCAAGCUCUCACCAUGAUAUGGGCAACCAUGCUCCAGUGCCAUCGGCAUCAACACGGGAUCAUCAAGUCACUAUCCAGCAGCUGCAAAUUACAAAUACCAUUCGACUCCGACUCUCAUUGCCAAACCGUAGCUCUCCUCUCCGCUGAGCUCGGAAAACUACGGUUAAACUUACAAAACUGGAUCUCAUCCCACAAGGCCUACCUGCGCAGCAUAAACCUGUGGCUGCACAAGUGUAUGAAACCUCUGAGGAAGAGGAAGAGCUCCAGGAAGCAAAACGCAGCCGCCGUCGACGUCUCGCUGGCGGAGUGCGCCGUCGCGCCCAUGUUCGCCGCCGGCGAGACCUGGAUGAAGCUGCUGGACGAUCUGCCGACCGAGGACCUGGAAGAGGCCAUCGAGUGUCUUGUUGCCGGUAUAAGCCGCCUUCUGCCACGCCGUUUGGAUCAACGCCUGGACGAGACGGUAAAAGAUGGUGAAGCGGAGCAAGAGGUUCCUAGAGACGAUGCCGCUGCCGAUUUAAGAUCGAUCCUCGUGGUGUUCGUCGAGAAGCUUGAGGCAUUUUCGGAAGUUUCAGUGCAGAAAUACCUCGAUCUGCAGAGAGGCGUCGGUGCGGCUAAAGACAGGCUUGUGAGAGAGGCUUGA
rnacentral:rRNA from 1 species